rnacentral:rRNA from 1 species
CGGUAUUAAGCCCCGGUGGUUGGAGAUGGGCAUGCGUGGCAUUAGUUAGUUGGUGGGGUAACGGCCCACCAAGGCGUCGAUGCCUAGGGGUUCUGAGAGGAUAGUCCCCCACACUGGUACUGAGACACGGACCAGACUCCUACGGGAGGCAGCAGUGAGGAAUAUUGGUCAAUGGGUGAGAGCCUGAACCAGCCAUGCCGCGUGCAGGAAUGACGGCCCUAUGGGUUGUAAACUGCUUUUCCAGGGGAAGAACCGCCCGGAUUAUUUCGGGUCUGACGGUACCCGGGGAAUAAGCACCGGCUAACUCCGUGCCAGCAGCCGCGGUAAUACGGAGGGUGCAAGCGUUAUCCGGAUUUAUUGGGUUUAAAGGGUGCGUAGGCGGGCCGGCAAGUCAGUGGUGAAAUCCCGCAGCUCAACUGCGGAACUGCCAUUGAAACUACCAGCCUCGAGUACGGUUGAAGUGGGUGGAAUGUGUCAUGUAGCGGUGAAAUGCAUAGAUAUGACACAGAACGCCGAUAGCGGAGGCAGCUCACUAAACCGAGACUGACGCUGAGGCACGAAAGCGUGGGUAGCGAACAGGAUUAGAUACCCUGGUAGUCCACGCCGUAAACGAUGAUAACUCGAUGUGUGCGAUAUACAGUACGCGUCCAAGCGAAAGUGAUAAGUUAUCCACCUGGGGAGUACGUCCGCAAGGAUGAAACUCAAAGGAAUUGACGGGGGCCCGCACAAGCGGAGGAGCAUGUGGUUUAAUUCGAUGAUACGCGAGGAACCUUACCUGGGCUUAAAUGCAGGAUGAUUCAUGCCGAAAGGCGUGUUCCUUCGGGCAUUUUGCAAGGUGCUGCAUGGUUGUCGUCAGCUCGUGCCGUGAGGUGUCGGGUUAAGUCCCAUAACGAGCGCAACCCUUACUCCCAGUUGCCAUCACUUCGGGUGGGGACUCUGGGGGAACUGCCUACGCCCGUAGCGAGGAAGGUGGGGAUGACGUCAAAUCAGCACGGCCCUUAUGUCCAGGGCUACACACGUGCUACAAUGGCCUGUACAGAGGGCAGCUACCCGGCGACGGGGUGCCAAUCUCAAAAACGGGUCUCAGUUCGGAUCGGAGCCUGCAACUCGGCUCCGUGAAGUUGGAUUCGCUAGUAAUCGCGU